ACGGAAUUUUUUUUCACUCCUCGAAACUCUCCUUAGUCCUUUUGAAAGCUGAUUUUCCCGCGUGUCGGCUUCAACGAAUCAUAGGCCUUCAUCAUAGGAGUUAGCCUUCCAGUUUAUUUAUAGUCCAAUGGUGAGAUCUCACCUUUCACUUGGCCGCUCCUUUCUUAUACGAACAUAAAUCGAAUUUUAUAUGCAUUUCCAUGGCACGAGAAUCGCAUUCGAGCGAGUGUCCUGGUUAUCUGGGCAUAAAUGAACAGGCCCCUAAUUUCACAGUUUUGUAUUGCACGCACUCUUGUUUUGCGCACGUGGGACAAUACCUCAUAAUUUCAGUCAUUAAAGUACCGUUUCAAAAAUGACGUCACAUGACAUAAUUCCACGUAAUUGUGUGAUUUCAACUUUUUUGUUGACAAAUUUUUCAAAAAAUCUUAAAAACAUUCACGGUGUCGACGAUUAGGUUUACUUCGGUAGAGCAGCUGUUUAUAGUCGCCUUUAUUUCAACAUAUAUACCUCCCGUAUAUAAUCCCACCAUAUUCACUAACGUUCAGACCAUUAUUCCCAAUAUUAGCCACCCGCCGGCCCCAAAUAUAAGCCCCUCCAUGCAUAAGUCCACAAAAAUCCAUACGAACGAAUAUAAGCCCAGGGCUUAUAAUCGGAGGUUUACGGUGUAAAUCUAAAUUGGUUUUGUGUUUCACAGUUUCAGUAACUGGCUCUCAGCAAAUAAUAUGGCAACAUUGAAAUGGGGAAGGGUGGGGGAGGGGGGGGGGAGAUUGCAUGUGAAUUUGCGUAGUAUUUGCGAAAAUAACCUGUCGAACUUUAUUAUACAUAUCUAUCUAAAUAGUCAUUUUAGUGGUACAGUGAUAAUCAGUAUUACCUAAAUUGUAAUUUAGUGUAUAGUGGUACAGUGAUAAUCAGUAUUACCUACAAUUGUAAUUUAGUGUACGUUAUACACAUAUAAUUCAGUUUCAUUUAUUGUUAUACAUGCACAUAUAUAUAAUUCAGUCUAUCACUGCAAAAGUAUUUAAUAAAUUAUUU